GCCGCGCCCUCUGGCGGCUGCGCCCGGAGCAGCGCAAACUCCGCGCAGCGCAAACCCCGCGCACCGCUCCCUCCGCGCUUCCGCGGCGGGACUCGAGGAACUUCAGGUAUGAAGAAUUUAGAAGCACCAUCCCGAAUCAAAAAUCGCCGUAAAACUUUAAAUGCACAUCGCUCUAAGUGUUUCGUGCUGUAGGGUGCGAAAAGUUCUCUUUUUAUGCCUGUCCAGUGGAAGAGAGGCUAUCGCCCUCAUGUAAAUUCAGCGCUGUAGAAUAUCAGCUGUGACACAAAAUAUGGAGGGAAAUGGGCUACUAUCUGCUUACUGCAGCUGUUGAGGCAGUCUAGGGCAUCAGCUUCGCUCAGGGACAAUCAGUCUUACUAUAGCAAGGGGCAAAGUCAAGCUAUUGCUCAGUUACAGACAGGCUAGUCUUCAAAAAAAUUAAAAUGAAGCCUUUAAUUUAGCUUGUGAAUCCGACAUUAAAUGCCAAACUUUUCAUUUUGUUUCACUUGUCCUCCUGUAUUCAAGGCGGUGGCUAAGAAAUGUGCAGAGCACAGGUAAGUCAGGCAAUAAGCAAAGCAAGCCCUCCAGCAGAACGAGUACUCUCCCACUGCCUCCACCCUGAAGAGCCCGUCCCAGCAGCAGGAUCUUCCCCGAUGCCCCCACUGAGAGAUGCAGAGGAGAAGCACCACCUCCAGCGUUUCAAGGCCUGGUGCCCAACUGCGACUGCCACUGCGUGGGAGAGUGGAAGACCCAGGCAGCAAGACCAUAUAUGUUCAGUCUACUCAUAUUUGUGGAUAAAAUGAAAAGAGCAGCUGUGACAGGAAAACUAAAGGCUCGACUACCCUUCCUCCAGACAGCUCCUGGGAAGGCUUAUGAAGACAGCACAGCACGGGGGGCCUGCAGAACCACGCCAACAGCCUCAGACACAGCAAUUGCCAGACAACUGGCGUCUAAAUUCAACAAUAUUUAUAAUCUUCCAUCUAAUGGCUGGUUCUCACCAUGGAGAACCCCAGGGAUAGUAACCUGCUGGUAAGCCCACACUUCAGUGCUGGUAUUCAGUCUAGGCUUCAGUGACUAUCUAUCUAAAUCUCUGGAGAUGUGCCUACCCUGGCAGGAGUGGAUAAGCAUAUGUAUGCAUAUAUCGCACAGCCCUUCAGCUUCAGGGAAACUAUUAGUACAGCUUAUUCAAGUUCCAGCUAAAGUUUCUCAGUUCCUGGUGUAAGAAAGCUGUGACCACCACAGUACUAGUUAUUACAGAAGCUCUCUCACUGGAAGUUAUUAAGAGGAAACAGGACCAAGUAUUUCUGCAAUUCAAGCACUGACAGGGCAGAGAGGCAACAUUACAAACAUUGUAUUUUAAGGAUAUAAUAUGUGGAAUUCUCUCCGCUGCUCUCUACCACUUUUAUGAUGCAACUGUUUAUAGCAAAGUAGGGACAGUAGGGACUGCUUAAUCAGGACAGUCUAAUGUAUGGGCAAUUAUCCAAGGCCACGUAUUUUCUAAAUUCUGUAUGGGCAGAGAUGGAGCUUAAGAGCUCUGUAGGGAUCAGAGCUGCUAACGAACUUCUAAGGAGGGCUCUGGAGACUGGGUUGUGCAUAAUGAGAAAAUCUGGAUAUUCAGUGCGAAGAACUCUCCCAAUUUAGCUGCAGUCUAUGUAAAUUAAAUUUGUAUUUAAUGCUUAUCACUACACAGUCCACUUUAGCACUGGGAUAAACUGGGUAGCCUGUGACUUUUCUCUUUUUUGUUACGAAUGUGGCUGAAAGUGGUUCAGAAAGGGGAGACCUGGAAACCUUGGCCAAGCACAUUGUUGGGAAGGACUAUUAUGUAGACAAAUUUUCCUAUCAACUCCCACCUCUUCAGACUACAGCAUCAUGCUUGCAGGCUACGUGCUUAUUUAUUCCCAUGUGUUACAUUUGGACAUCAUAGGCAUAUAGUGUGCAUAUAUAUACACAUGUAAGUUUGUGUGUGUAUAUAUACACACACACACACAUUUAUAAU
rnacentral:lncRNA from 1 species